GGACCCGUAGCUCAGCUGGAUAGAGCGUCGGCCUCCGGAGCCGAAGGUCGCAGGUUCGAAUCCUGCCGGGUCCACCA
rnacentral:tRNA from 1 species